CUUUAGGAAAGAGAGAGGUUGUCCCCAGUGCUGUGACUCUGCACAUCCUACCCCCAAGUGCAGCCGAACGCAACGUGCUGCCAUCUCCCAGCUCUUCCCUGCAGCAUUUACCUCUGUGAAAUAAUAAUGACACAGCUGAAAUAUUCAUGGCCAUUAGCUGAUGGUGCUCGGCUUUCCUGAAGUGGGAGAACACCGGCGACUCAGGGCUUACCUGAAAAAAACACAGAACAACUUCAGUGUUGUGGAUUAAGGAAGCCUAUUUUAUCUUAAUGGAAAGAAAAAGAGACGCGGGAUUUAAACAUGAGGCAGAGGGAGGAUACCUCUCAGUUCUGCCAGAGCUUCAUUUCGUGGUGUCUGGAAACACAUCAAUCCCCCAGCCUUCUGUUCCUCCGUGCCACCUCCCUGAAUGUCAGAGGAUCAGAGGAUUAUCUGUGUUACCCGGCCGUGUGGGUGCCUGAGCACUACAACCUGAGCUCUAAGAGAUCUUGUAUUUGGACAGAAACACGGCUGUACUAUAUGAAUAACCGGGGCUUCCCCAUAUCCACAAAACCCAUUCUUGCAGCAGACAUGAGAACUUAAUCCACUCCUUUUUACUCCCUGAAGAUUCAACCAAAGUUUAUAUAGCGCUGGCUUGGCUGAAUGCAUUCAUAAAUUGCCACAAAACCUCCUUUGAAAUGGCAGCGAAUGCAGUCGGCUGAUUACAAAGGAUGAGCUCAUGCUUUUGCCUGUAACAAACGCCGCAUUGUUAAGGGCUUCGGGGACAGGAGUGGUGAAUGGCAGGAAUACACCGAGCAUCGGGGUCAGGGGAUGCAGGGCGGGAGCUGGGACUGGGAGCACUGGGGCUGGUUUCGGUGGUCAGUUGGUUGAAAUGGUUAAAGAGAGGGUUUACAGACGUGCUGGAGGGAAGGGAAAGUUUUAUGCUAAAACCUUUCAGCUGCCUUCUCUACUGCAGUUGAGUAGCACUUACCAACGCACUGAAAAGCCUGGUUCCUCUCCCACUGAUGCCAGUAAGGAAGUUCUGGCUGCAGGAAGCAGAACAGCGAUUUUACAGUCUGCAGUGCUGCUCUGCAGUGCUAACCACAAAGCCUUUCGUUUCACCCUUCAAUUACCCUAACUGCAAUUCUUCCUGUAGAAGCAAUAACGUGCAGCCAACGCGCUAAUAAACUGUUGGUUGUUACUGGAGUAAAAGCCACUAUAAUGCAAAAAAAGAAAAAAAAAUAGUAAUAAUAAUAAAAUAAAUCAAGGGAACUAACAGGAAAGGUUCUUUAAAUAUUGUGUUUUGUCUAGAAGUAUAAUCCUAUAAAAGGGUCUCAAGUGAAAUCCUUCCCAAGUGAAACCUCAUGCGGAACAAUAGAGGAGACUGCAG
ensembl:lncRNA